CCUGGAACUAGCUCUUGUAGACCAGGCUAGUCUCGAACUCACAGAGAUCCGCCUGCCUCUGCCUCCUGAGUGCUGGGACUAAAGGCGUGUGCCACCACCGUCCAGCAAAUCAUUGGCUUUCUUGACCAUAAUUCAUUCAUUCACUCAACAAAUAUUUGUUGAGAGCCUGCUGUGUUGUAUUCAAUAUGCAAGAUAAUACACACCCAGACCAAGAAGCACUCGUCAUAAAUGGGGAACAAGUAACAGCUCCUCAGCCCGAUGGGACCUGCCUAUCUCAUCUUCUCUGGCACAGAGCCCUCCAGGCCUGGCUGUUUGACUUGGGCUAAUGAGGCAUAGCUGUGACACAGCAGAGGCUUGAUCAGCACUUGCAUGUUGGAACUGACCCUCUUGGAAUCCAGGUGUCAUAUAAAGAUGUUUGGAGCACAUUGUUGACAGAGUUUCUAGUCGUCAGCCAUCCCACCAGGCCUUGGACAUUUCAGUUCCAAGCAGCCCAUCAGAUGCGGAUGACUCCUUGAGCAAGUUCAGGUCAUGAUUGGCUAUGGGAACUGAAACCACAGAGAAUGAUAAGGAGGAUCACUGGUGUGGAAAACACAGCUCAGCCUCAGGAAGGAACUGCAUCCUGGAACUGGAGGCCUCUAUGACUCAUUCCCGGUCUCUCUGCACACCUGCCUAGGCCUUUGGUCCUUAAAAAGCCAUCCCUGAUCAAUUUGGCUUUUAUGCUGCUCGUGGUGGUUCGGAGCUCGGCUAGAACAGGAGUCAUCCGAGGCCAUCACAUUUAAUUUCCCACGGCUGUUGUAAUAAAACAUCACAAGCUGGGUGGUUUAAAACAACAGAAACUGCCUAGCUCACAGUUCUGGAGUCUGGAUGUGGAAAAUAAACAUGUUGGCAGGUCGGUUCAUUUGUAGGGUUCAGUGUGUGUGUGGGGGGGAACUCUGUUCCCUGCUCUUUCCUGGUGCUGGGGGAGACUGGCAAUCUCUGGUGUCCUGUAGCCUGCAGAUCCAGUUCCCGCCUCUACCCCCACACUGGAUUCUGUGCAUGUCUCUGCACCUUCACACGGGAGACCGCGUUUUGGAAGAAGGUCACGUUAGUCCAAGGACCAGACCGUACACAGGAAUGAGGCUCCAGGAGGACACAACUCAACCUACAUCAACAUUCAGACAUCCCUGGUUUUAGCUAUCAGUGAUGUCAGUAUCUAGGUUAGGUCAACUGGGCAACAAAUGUCUUUAUCAUGAGGGACAAAGACAAGGGAAGGAAACCUUUUAAACUCAAAUUCUCCUGAAUUGCAUGGGAUGAAAUGAGUUUUGUGGUGACCACAGAGAUCACCAUGGAAGAUUCUGCCGACUUCCCUGUUGCCUGGAGAAAUCCGGAGUGGCUGUUUGCAGAAGGAAGCAUUCUAAAAUGCAGAUAAUUAGAACAAACCUCUCAGAAAUGCAGGCGUGGCUCGCAGUUUAUUUUGGCAAGAAAACAGUGCAAUGAACAAUACUCAACUUAUAAAAUGGCCUUUGAGAAGAAUUUUUAAAAGCACCAGAAAGGUCAUAUGUUGUAACAUUAGACAAACAAAUAGAAACACAAAAAAGCCAAGAUGAAAAGUUGUGUUUGCAGCAUGAGUUCAAAUAGUCCCUAUAAACAAGGCCUGUGAAGUAGGGAGAGGAAGUAGAGGACCUGUCGCCUCCACUUCUACAAGCUUCUGGGUUGUCUACAUUUUUCCCCCCUCUCAUUGAUGUCGUGUUUUUAAGAAAUACACUUUUAAAAUUUGAUUUACAGAAAAGCUGUAACAAUUGAGAGAACUCUCAAACCCAGUAUUCCGUUUGCUCGAGUGCUAAAUUCUGUUUAGCACAACAAAUGAACCAGCACUGGCCUAUUAGUACUGACACAGUGGGAUUGGAAAUUUUAUUUGCCGGUUGAACUUUUAUAGUAUAUGGGCAUGGAGUCCAGGGCUUUAUUCAUACUAGGCAAAUGUUUCUCAAGCCCUUUUUGUUUCUUUGAGACUGGGUCUCAGCAUGUAGCCCAGGCUGGCGUUGGAUUUGCAUUCCUGCCUCUGCUUCCUGAGUGCUGGGGUUACAAGCAUGUGCACUCUGCCCUGCUUUUUAUGGGGAUUUUCAGAACCUCAUCUAAUGCUUUCCAGUCUUGGAUUUGGCAUUUAGCACUGUGCAGCUUGCUUAGUGAGCAUACCCUCUAAGGGGUUUUCUCAGACUUCGCUUGGUUUUGGUGAUCUUGAUGUUGUUUUUUUUAUUUUUCAAGACAAGGUUUUGCUAUGGAGCCCUGGCUGUCCUGGAACUCACACAUAGACCAGGUUGGACUUGAACUCAGAACUCAGAGAUCUGCCUGCCUCUACCUCCUGAGUUCUAGAAUUAAAAGGCACGUGCCGCCACCUGGGUCAGUCUAGAAGUAUGUAGAAGUAGGGGCUGACUUUGAUGAUAUUGAUUAAAGCUGGUUUGAUAUUGUGUAGAGUAUGCCUCCAUUUAUCCUAGAGAAGUUUUCCAUCUU
rnacentral:lncRNA from 1 species